rnacentral:rRNA from 1 species
AACGAACGCUGGCGGCAGGCCUAACACAUGCAAGUCGAACGCCGUAGCAAUACGGAGUGGCAGACGGGUGAGUAACACGUGGGAACGUACCCUUCGGUUCGGAAUAACUCAGGGAAACUUGAGCUAAUACCGGAUACGUCCGAGAGGAGAAAGAUUUAUCGCCGAGGGAUCGGCCCGCGUCUGAUUAGCUUGUUGGUGAGGUAACGGCUCACCAAGGCGACGAUCAGUAGCUGGUCNGAGAGGAUGAUCAGCCACAUUGGGACUGAGACACGGCCCAAACUCCUACGGGAGGCAGCAGUGGGGAAUAUUGGACAAUGGGCGCAAGCCUGAUCCAGCCAUGCCGCGUGAGUGAUGAAGGCCCUAGGGUUGUAAAGCUCUUUUACCCGGGAAGAUAAUGACUGUGCCGGGAG